UACGUAGGGUGCAAGCGUUGUCCGGAAUUAUUGGGCGUAAAGAGCUCGUAGGCGGUUUGUCGCGUCUGCUGUGAAAACCCGAGGCUCAACCUCGGGCCUGCAGUGGGUACGGGCAGACUAGAGUGCGGUAGGGGAGAUUGGAAUUCCUGGUGUAGCGGUGGAAUGCGCAGAUAUCAGGAGGAACACCGAUAGCGAAGGCAGAUCUCUGGGCCACUACUGACGCUGAGAAGCGAAAGCAUGGGGAGCGAACAGG
rnacentral:rRNA from 1 species